rnacentral:rRNA from 1 species
AGUGAACGCUGGCGGUAGGCCUAACACAUGCAAGUCGAACGGCAGCACAGUAAGAGCUUGCUCUUACGGGUGGCGAGUGGCGGACGGGUGAGGAAUACAUCGGAAUCUACUUUUUCGUGGGGGAUAACGUAGGGAAACUUACGCUAAUACCGCAUACGACCUACGGUUGAAAGCAGGGGAUCUUCGGACCUUGCGCGAUUGAAUGAGCCGAUGUCGGAUUAGCUAGUUGGCGGGGUAAAGGCCCACCAAGGCGACGAUCCGUAGCUGGUCUGAGAGGAUGAUCAGCCACACUGGAAAUGAGACACGGUCCAGACUCCUACGGGAGGCAGCAGUGGGGAAUAUUGGACAAUGGGCGCAAGCCUGAUCCAGCCAUACCGCGUGGGUGAAGAAGGCCUUCGGGUUGUAAAGCCCUUUUGUUGGGAAAGAAAAGCAGCAGGUUAAUACCCCGCUGUUCUGACGGUACCCAAAGAAUAAGCACCGGCUAACUUCGUG